GAGGCAGUUGUUAGCAGCCCCAUAUUCUACACUUGGGAUUAAAACAAAAACUUGUCACGCACAUCAAAACAAAUCGUUCCUGCCGACAGUGUCUGUGUAGUUGUCAGAUUUUCUGUGCGAUGGCUCCAUACAUA